CAGUAGCCGCGGUAAUACGUAGGUCCCGAGCGUUGUCCGGAUUUAUUGGGCGUAAGCGAGCGCAGGCGGUUAGAUAAGUCUGAAGUUAAAGGCUGUGGCUUAACCAUAGUACGCUUUGGAAACUGUUUAACUUGAGUGCAAGAGGGGAGAGUGGAAUUCCAUGUGUAGCGGUGAAAUGCGUAGAUAUAUGGAGGAACACCGGUGGCGAAAGCGGCUCUCUGGCUUGUAACUGACGCUGAGGCUCGAAAGCGUGGGGAGCAAACAGGAUUAGAUACCCGCGUAGUCCCUGUCUCUUAUACAC
rnacentral:rRNA from 1 species